rnacentral:rRNA from 1 species
AAGUUAAUAAGAGCUAUUGGUGGAUGCCUUGGCAUUGAGAGGCGAUGAAGGAUGCGUUUACCUGCAUUAAUCUUCGGCGAGCUGGUAUAAAGCUAUGACCCGGAGGUGUCCGAAUGGGAAAACCUGAUAGAUUAAUAUUCUAUCAUUAUAUACUGAAUACAUAGGUAUAUAAAGCGAUACCUACUGAACUGAAACAUCUUAGUAAGUAGAGGAAAAGAAAUCAAAGAGAUUCCCUAAGUAGCGGCGAGCGAAAGGGGACAAGUCUAAACCACAUUUUAAUGUGGGGUUGUAGGGUCGAUAACAUGAGAUUUUAAGUUUUAGUUGAAUACUUCUGGAAAGUUGAACGAUACAGGGUGAUAGUCCCGUAAACAAAAAGACAAGAGACUCUAUUCGAUACCUGAGUAGGGCUAGACACGUGAAACCUAGUCUGAAUCUGGGGAGACCACUCUCCAAGACUAAAUACUAAUCAAUGACCUAUAGUGAACCAGUACUGUGAAGGAAAGGUGAAAAGAACCCUUGUUAAGGGAGUGAAAUAGAACCUGAAACCAGUAGCUUAUAAGCGGUCGGAGACCUAUAACUCU